CCGCCUGGGGAGUACGGCCGCAAGGUUAAAACUCAAAUGAAUUGACGGGGGCCCGCACAAGCGGUGGAGCAUGUGGUUUAAUUCGAUGCAACGCGAAGAACCUUACCUACUCUUGACAUCCAGAGAACUUAGCAGAGAUGCUUUAGUGCCUUCGGGAACUCUGAGACAGGUGCUGCAUGGCUGUCGUCAGCUCGUGUUGUGAAAUGUUGGGUUAAGUCCCGCAACGAGCGCAACCCUUAUCCUUUGUUGCCAGCGAUUCGGUCGGGAACUCA
rnacentral:rRNA from 1 species